UAAACGGCUCUUUUAAGAGCCACCCACGUUUUCACCAGAAAAGCCG
rfam:Dipodomys ordii contig_70646, whole genome shotgun sequence.